GAUCUGGCUCAGGACGAACGCUGGCGGCGUGCCUAACACAUGCAAGUCGAACGGAACUGUUUUGAAAGAUUUCUUCGGAAUGAAUUUGAUUUAGUUUAGUGGCGGACGGGUGAGUAACGCGUGAGUAACCUGCCUUCAAGAGGGGGAUAACAUUCUGAAAAGAAUGCUAAUACCGCAUGACAUAUCGGAAUCACAUGGUUUUGAUAUCAAAGAUUUUAUCGCUUGAAGAUGGACUCGCGUCCGAUUAG
rnacentral:rRNA from 1 species